UUAGGGUAUUUACUUGUGACCAUUGGAAUCAUUCUGAACGAACUCUCCUUCUCCUUCGUGACAAAGCGGCGGCAGGCUUUCUUCUCCAACCGGAGCUCUAACGGCGCCACCACGAACGUAUCGACCGUCACCUCAACGUUUCGUUCAUCUCUCUCGACUCCUCUCCGAUUCAAACCUUCACUCAGUUCUCCUCUCUCUUCAUGAACAUACGGCGGAGCUUUCCUUCUUCUCCGAUUGAAACGGCGGCGUAUUCUUUGACACCUCCCUCAUCUCUUUCGACUCGAAUAGCUCUUUCAUCUUCGACUCAACCUCUCGUCUCGUUUGUCGAUUACUCUCUUUAUGCUUCAUCUCGCGAUCUCUCGCUCAACAACGGCGGCGGCUUCAAGAUUCCUCUGGCACGACAGCAACUCAAAGUAAGUUGAUGACGAUGAUGAUUGAGAUUGAUGCGCAAUGAAGAUAGAGAGUGUUUCCGGUGGUGAUUGAAGGUAUCGGUGGUGAGCAGUGAUGAUGAUGAUGAAGAUUCUUGAUUAGAGAUUGAAGAGAAAUUCUCGGUUGUGAUUUUUUUGAAUUUUCUGAUGAGUGAGGUGGAUUGAAGAUGAAGGUUAAUCAAAGCAAGAUUGAAUAAGUGAAGAAAAGGAGAAGAAGAUUCAGUUCUCAAGUGCGUUUUUCUGAGUUUCUGUUAUGAGCUUUCUCUUCUCUCCUAUUUCUGUUAGCUUUCUAAUUCUUUUCUUCUGCAAUUGAAGGUGGUGAAGGUGGUGGAUUGAAGAAGUGAUGGAAGAAGAUGAAGGGGAUUGAAGUUGAAGAAGAUGGAUUGUGAGAGGGUGAAGGAAGAGAGAAUGGUGGAAGUGAAGAUGGGUGAAAACUGAUCAAGAAGGGAUCCAUUGAAGAGUGAAGCUCUGUUAUAUAUCAAUAGCAAGGAUGUGAAGUGGCUGAGCAGCUUGGCACACUUUUGAGAGUAACUUGGUGUAAAUGGAAGUGGCUUAGAGUUUUGAAACAAACAGAGUGGAGUUUUCUGAAGGAUGAAGCCUAGUAUUAGGACUAGGUAGGAUUCUAAAAAGGAUGGAACAACUUGGACGUGAAAGAGGGAUAUUGGCUAUUUAGAUUUAUAUUAUUUUUUUUUUGCAUAUGAUGUAAAGAGUUUGAAUGGUGUAAUUGUAUUUGUAUUUUGAAAUUGGUUUUGUAUUUUUGAUGAAUUGUAGAAUUCUUUUUCUUUUUUCAUCAUAUGGAAAUCCAACACAAAUGCUUGAGAACUCUAA